rnacentral:misc_RNA from 1 species
UGAAACCUACUUAACCCAAAAUCAUGCCAACUAUGUAUGUGUCAUCAUGCGUACUAAAUCAGUCGUAAUGUAGUAAUAUUAGGAGAAGUUCCUUUGAUACACUUCAGCAGCAACACAAUAUAAUUAAUAAUCAUUGAAAACAAUGAAAUUUUUAACAACUUCAAAUUGAUUUUAGUUAGACCAUUUUCCAACAAAGGAACUAUGGAUAAUCAGGUUCUUCAAAGCAAAUGACUGAUGAGUUCACCAGUUUGAGCCAACAGGUUCCAAAAUUAUAGAUAUCCAUCUUCCAGUUUGAAACAUUUCAUGGAAAUGACAAAAGCAAAUAAAGCCUCACCUGCAACUUUGAUUCAAAGUCCU